CCCUUCCUUUGCUUCUUUCUUUGUUACCUAUUUCUUCACUAUUUUUUUUUUCUUUCUUAUUUCCUUCCUUUCAUCCUUUUCCCUUCUUUCUUUUUUUUUCUUUCCUUUUUCUUCCUCUUCCUUUCUUUUUUGCUUUUCCUGUAUAGAUGGUUUUCAAAGUUCUGAUCUUAUCUAGAUCCCAUUUGCUCGUAAGAAUGAGAUGGAACAGGUGAGACGCCCUCCAUCCUACCAGAACUUACAGCUUGAUCAUAUUACUAUAUAAAAAAAUUAUUUUAGAAAAUAAUAACUGAGAUCUUAUAUCUAAUAUAUAUUUUUUUUAUUUCUACCUAUUCUAUAUUAUCUUUUGAAAAUAGUUAGAGAAAGAAAAAAGUAAAGAUUUUAAAUUCUGACAUGAUUAGCAGUGUUUUGGCCAUCUAGUCUUGUUUCCAUAAGAAAAUAGGAUUUGAGACGUGGUUAGAGUAGGAAAAGGAAAGAAAAAAAAAGAAAAAAGAAAGAGGAAAACAAUGAUAGGAAAAAAAUAAGAAAGGAAAUAGAAAGAAGAAAGAGAAAAUAAGAGAAAAAACAAAAAAAAGGAGCGAGAAGAAAAAAAAGGAAAGAAAGAAAAGUAAAAAAAAUAUAAAGGAAAAAAGCUAUUAUCAUAAUUUGUGAUUCAUAAAAUAUGGAACAAAAUGAUUUUAGAAAGAGGGUGACUUACCAAAAAUAACUUGCAAUAUAGAAUAGAUAUAAUAAAAUAGAUUACAAACAUAGAAUAGAAUAUAAUAGAUGUAAUAUCUUAAUUUUUUUAAAAUAAUUUUUUAUGUUAAUAGUAUGAUUAAAAUUUGAAGUUUUGGUGGAAUGGUGGCCAUCCUAUCCUUGCGAGAAAAUAA
rnacentral:lncRNA from 1 species